rnacentral:rRNA from 1 species
UACGGAGGGUGCUAGCGUUGUUCGGAAUUACUGGGCGUAAAGCGCACGUAGGCGGCUUGGUAAGUUAGAGGUGAAAGCCUGGAGCUCAACUCCAGAAUUGCCUUUAAGACUGCCGAGCUAGCAGGUGAGAGAGGUGAGGGGAAUUCCGAGUGUAGAGGUGAAAUUCGUAGAUAUUCGGAAGAACACCAGUGGCGAAGGCGGCUCACUGGCUCAUACUGGACGCUGAGGUGCGAAAGCGUGGGGAGCAAACAGG